rnacentral:miRNA from 11 species
GAUGGGUGUGAAUCUAGUGUUU